rnacentral:rRNA from 1 species
UGGAGGAAAGCAGGGGAUCGUAAGACCUUGCGCUUUUGGAGCGGCCGAUGUCUGAUUAGCUAGUUGGUGGGGUAAAGACCUACCAAAGCUUCGAUCAGUAGCUGGUCUGAGAGGACGACCAGCCACACUGGGACUGAGACACGGCCCAGACUCCUACGGGAGGCAGCAGUGGGGAAUUUUGGACAAUGGGCGCAAGCCUGAUCCAGCCAUGCCGCGUGAGUGAAGAAGGCCUUCGGGUUGUAAAGCUCUUUCAGCCGGGAAGAAAAGACCGCGACUAAUAAUCGCGGUUCAUGACGGUACCGGAAGAAGAAGCACCGGCUAACUACGUGCCAGCAGCCGCGGUAAUACGUAGGGUGCGAGCGUUAAUCGGAAUUACUGGGCGUAAAGGGUGCGCAGGCGGUCUUGUAAGUCAGAUGUGA